rnacentral:tRNA from 1 species
GCCUCAGUGGCCUAAUGGACAAGGCGCUGGCCUUCUAAGCCAGAGAUUGUGGGUUCAAAUCCCAUCUGGGGUG